AUUUAGGUCGGUGCAAAAGUGAUUGCGGUUUUUGCCAUUGAAAGUAAUGGCAAAAACCGCAAUCACUUUUGCACCAACCUAA
rnacentral:pre_miRNA from 1 species